AAGGGUAGUGGGUUAACAGGUAAAAAAACAUUCAUUAUGUAAAGCCAGUUAACAAGGUGAAAAAGCAUUCAUUAUGCAAAGUUAGUUAAACAGGGUUAAGAACAUUCAUCAUGAAACACCAGAAGGCUUAAUCUCCACUAUUUGACACUCGCUGAUUGCAAUGGUCACCCAAUCAAUAUAGAUGUUGCCUUAUUUGGAUGCUGCUCCGUGUAAGUGACUAUACAAUUCAUUAAGAAUCUAUUGUUCAAGAGAAGACCACAAACUCAUGUCCCUGUGUACAUGGGUGAUUGUUCUCUCUCCCUGCAGGGCCUGGAACAAAGAGCCUACCAAAGAGUACCAUCUCCAGGACGAAGCAAGAGAAGCUUACAAGUCGAGUCCAUUAGGGAUUCCCUGAGCCACGUGGAGUAGUGAAAGUCAGACUGUUGCAAGGUCAAGGCAUCUGAUGAAAUCAGAAACCAGUGGAGAAGACCUCUAAAGAACUAUGUGAAGUGUUGGAAAGUCAUUUUGUACCAAAGUCACUGAUUAUCAUGGACCCUUUCUGUUUUUACGAACGGGUACAACAGAAAGGACAGCCCAUUGCCCAAUUCAUAGCCACCUUAAAGAGGUUAGCAGAACAUUGUAAUUUCACAGCAUUCCUCCAGGAUGUCUUGCAGGACCAGUUGGUUUGUGGCCUCCAACUUGAAACCAAUGAUAGCUACUAACAAAGAGACCUGGCUUUCAAGCCAGCUGUCAAAAUCGCUACUUCAUUGGAGUCGGCAGCCAGCAAAGAAACACAGAAGCGAAACAUUCUCUCCACAUCUACUCUGUCCAAUCAAUUCAAAUGAACAGAGGUCACAGUACUGGUCUUUGGAUGUAGGUUUGCUCGCUGAGCUGGAAGGGUCAGUUUCAGACAUUUCGUAUGUAACAUCAGUGAGCCUCCGGAUGAAGCACUGGUGGCAUGGCCAGCUUUCUAUUUAUGUGUUGGCUGUUUAACAGUCCUGAGAACAUCCAUUCUUGUGCUGCCUGUGUUUUGUCAUGCCUCGAGUUCAUAAGAUUUAGACCUGGUAUUUCAUCCACUUAAGCAUAGUUCCUAAGUCAAUUGUUUUCUUUUUAUCCCAUAUAUUAUAUUCAUGCUCACACUCAAAUAAAAGUAAACAGAAUAGACACUAAGUAAAAACUGAAGCAAAGCAAUUAUGUAUUCCUUCUGCCAUUCUUUCACUGUGUUCACUUUUCUUACCCUUCACUGACAUUAUUUGUCAUUUAUGCAUUUGUGAAAUAUCACUUAUUUUCCUAUUUUUGAAAAUUAUGUUUUCUCAUAGCCUUGAGACUUUAUAAACUUUUCUCUCAAUUUCCUCCUACUUCUCUUUGUCUUCUUCUUUAAUUGUCGAGCACCUUGCAUUGA